rnacentral:rRNA from 1 species
GAUGAACGCUAGCGAUAGGCUUAACACAUGCAAGUCGAGGGGCAGCACAAGGUAGCUUGCUAUCUGGGUGGCGACCGGCGCACGGGUGCGUAACGCGUAUGCAACUUGCCCUAUACAGGAGGAUAACCCGUCGAAAGACGGACUAAUACUGCGUAUGCUCACAACUUGGCAUCAAGUGGUGAGGAAAGAAAUUCGGUAUAGGAUAGGCAUGCGUCCCAUUAGCUUGUUGGUGAGGUAACGGCUCACCAAGGCAACGAUGGGUAGGGGAACUGAGAGGUUUAUCCCCCACACGGGUACUGAGACACGGACCAGACUCCUACGGGAGGCAGCAGUGAGGAAUAUUGGUCAAUGGGCGCGAGCCUGAACCAGCCAAGUCGCGUGAAGGAUGACUGUCUUAUGGAUUGUAAACUUCUUUUAUACGGGAAUAACAAGAGUCACGUGUGACUCCCUGCAUGUACCGUAUGAAUAAGCAUCGGCUAACUCCGUG